rnacentral:pre_miRNA from 1 species
ACAACAUACGGACCGUCGUUCUACCAAGCAAUAUCACCCACUCGGUGGAAGAUCUUCAGGCAUCUGUCAA